ACCAAGUCUUACAAUCAAAUUAUAUUUCCACGUUAGACACAUUGCCUCAAGUUAAUUUAUUAGAAUGCCAUCAUUAUCACAUUUCUCACAAUUCAUCCUUUUCUUGUAUACAAUUUUCUUAGAUUAAGUUUAUCAAUAAAAUGUGUAGCAACUUUACAAUGUAGCUGUGGAAUUGACUCUUUUAACCACUUUACGGUUUUAUUCAGCCCUUGGUGAUCAGAGAUGAAAUAUAGAAUACUAAAAUAUCUUUCCAACCCAAAAAGAAUCAGCUCAAUCCGAGCUUCCUAUAAUUAAUUAUGAUUUUCGCAAAAAUCAGCUCAGAAGUCAAAAUGCUUCCAAUCAGCUUGCUGUCAAAACAGUUCAGCCGACUUCGGACACUGUUUUGACCCGUUUAACAUCAGAAUUUAACAAACAUGUCCAAACAUAAAACGUAGUAUGUUUUAAUAGCUUUCUGAGCAUAUAAGGCUCAACCUCACAGGAUGUUCCAUGUUCUUAACCCUUAAAUUCUAGCAAAAUUAACAAGUACUAACAUCAAACUUCAAAUCUAACUUCAGGGAGUUCUAUUAACACAAUUUAACCAUUAUGAUUCUAGUGUUCAUCAUGUUUCUACAAAACCCAUUUAGCACAUAAUCGGGUGAUCAUGAAUUCACAAUUAGGAACAUCAAUUCAACAAGUAAAUGACUAGGGUUUACUCCUAGACAUAAAAUCAUUCCUAAUUUCAUCAUAUAACGAACAUGCAACCAUAAAUUUCAGAUUUCUAAGUUUACCUAGAAAUCCAACUAGAGAUUUUUCAUUAAAUUUUACAUACCUUUUAAUCCUCUUGUGAUGAGGAUUAAUAAUCCAUGCUUAAAUUUCGAUUUUGGACUGAAUUGGACCUUCAAUUUGCAAGAUUAGUGAAGUUCUAGGGUUUUGAAGAGUGGGGAGUCGCCCCUGCCCUUUCCUGUACGACCAGACAUCCUUAAUGGGUGUUUGGUUUUGAUUUGUAUUAAAAUUAGUAAUAUAAUUUCAAUUUCUUACAACUUAGGCCCCUCAUCUUUUGUUUGACAUAUAGUUUUGGUUGUUUUUAACCCUAUCAUAAGUUACUUCUAGAAUAUUAGCUAACUAGGUUAAAAUUCCUAGUUAGUAAGUUCUUGUUUAUUUAAGAAUCCUAAUAUUCGCCGGGUUACUUUUACCACUAAAGGUAAUU
rnacentral:lncRNA from 1 species